rnacentral:lncRNA from 1 species
AAGAACUCAACUUGUAUGCUCUAAUUAACGAAAUCCUUGCCUGCAUCAACUGCUGUCUCUGUAAAAAAAAAUUAGCGGGGAAUGUGUUGCUAGCUCAGUGAGUAAUAAUACUUAACCACAAUCAUUUUUAUUCGGGGACACGUCAGAAAACAUGCUUUCAUAAUAAUCACAAAAUAAAAUGCCCUUUUUAAAACGAUAAUAAUACUUAGUCUAAUCAUGUGUUUCCUGUAACAAAAUAAAUUUAACCAUUCAGUAUAACUCGAUAAAUACUGUGUCAUAGAAAGUCUUUAUGUUUGGUAGUUUUCCAGAAAAAGGAUCAUGUAAUCUGUAUAUCUGUGUGGACUCCUUCGUACAAGGAGUCAAAUAUAACUAUAGGUCCCUACUCGAGGGAAAACUGUAACUAUAUGCUAGUUCUAUCUUCCCACUAGCAAAGGCUUUUAUUUGGUAAUCGGUAAAUACAAGGUGCACCAGGUCUAACGAACCCUCCAUUAGCUACGGGAUCCUUCAAAGUCUCCUCCCAUUUAUAUUCUUUCUUGUAAACCAUAAAUACUCGUACAGAAGCAUUUUCAAAAUAAUAAAGUGCAUAUCAUUACUUUUCAAAUCUUGUAAUUUUAUUUCGGUAACAGUAAUAAUGUCUCAAGUAAUGGUAAAACAUAUCUAGUAACAGUGAAAAUAUUUUGAUUAAUCGGUAAACAUCUCAAGUAAACUUUUCGGUAUCAUAUCAAGUAAAGGACUCUUCCCACAUGCAAAUUUUAAAGCAUCGGUAACACAUUCAUCUUCAAAAAUCAUAUAUAAACCAUGGAGGUUAUGACAAUACAAAUUGCGGUAAGAUUACUACUUACUGUACUCGUCCCGAAAUAUCAAAUGCUUCACCUCGAGGAAUUCGUACAAAUUCCUCCAAUCAAUCUAUAAUUACAUAAUAUCGAUCUCAUGUCUUAUUUAAGCUAAUUCAUAACUAUUUUAGAA